CCUGGGUGCUAAAGGAAGUCCUGAAGCUGAAGAGAACACAGGCGCACGCUCGCUCUUCCCGUCCCUCCCUCCAGGGAUGGACUCACAGUGACUACAGCCCGAGGCAAAGAGCAAGAUCCCAAGCCCGCAGAGCAGUGAGCAUCUUUUUUCAAGUAAUGUCCACACCCAACGUGGAGCUCAGACUCACAACCCCAAGAUCAAGAGUCGCAUGUUCCACCAACUGAAUCAGCCAGGCAUCCUCGAUGAGCAUCUUUAUGGCCAUACUUGGAACUCUUUAUCAGCAUCUUCACCAGGAGUAGAUUUCUCAAGAAACUGCUUUCUUUGCUCAUCCAGAAGAAAUAAGUCCUCAUCCCAUUCAAGUUUCAUCAUGAGACGACAGCAAUUCAGUCACGUCUUCAGGCUCCCUUUCUCAUUCUCCUGCUAUUUCCACCACAUCGGUAGUUUCUUCCUCCACUGACGUCUUAAACCCCUCAAGAUCAUCUAUGGUUAGAAUCUGCUUUUUCCAAACUCCUGUGAAGGUUGGUAUUUUGACUUCUUACAUUGAAUCAGAGAUAUCCUUAAUGGCAUCCAGAAUGGUAAAUCCUUUCCAGAAGGUUUUCAACCAACUAUGCCCAGCUCCAUCAAGGGAGCCACUAGCUGUGGUAGCUACAGCAUUACAAAAUAUGUUUCUUAAAUCAUUUUGGAAGUCAAAAUGACUCUUUGAUCCACAGGCUGAAGAAUAAUGUUGUUUUCAUGCCGGCUAACACAACAUCCAGUCUCAUUAUAUAUCUCCACCAGAGCCCUUGGGUGACCAGGUACAUUGUCAAUGUGCAGUAGUAUUUUAAAAGCAAUCUUUUGUGUGUGGGGGCUUAAAAUAUUCAGUUUAACGUGUAGUAAACAGAUGUGCUGUCAUCCAUAUUUUGUUGCAUUUACAGAUCACAAGCAGAGUAGAUUUCACAUAAUUCUUAAGGGCUCUAGGAUUUUUGGAAUGGGAAAUAAACAGUGUCUUUAACUUGAGGUCACCAGCUAUGUUAGGCCCUAACAAGAAACUCAGCCUCUGUUUUAAAGCUUUGAAGCCAGAAUUUGAACUCACCUCUCUUGCUAUCAAAGUCCUAGGGAGCAUCUUCCAGUAGAAGGCUGUUUUUGUGUACGUUGACUGUCUAUUUAGUGUAGACACCUUCGUGCAUUAUCUGAGCCAGAUCUUCAGAACAACUUGCUGCAGCUUCUACAUCAGCACUUGCUGCUUCAACUUACACUUUUAUGCUAGUUUCUUUCCUUAAACCUCAUGAACCAACCUGUGAUAGCUUCAAGUACUUUCUUGUACCUCCUCACUUCUGUCAGCCUUGACAGAACUGGAGACAGCCUUGCUCUGGUUUAGGCUUUGUUUUAAGGGAAUGUUAUGGCUUCUUUUACCUUCUAUCCAGACCAGUAAAACUUUCUCCAUAUCAACAAUGAGGCUUUUUUGCUUCCUUAUCAUUUCUGUGUUCACUUGAGUAGCACUUUAAAUUUCCUUCAAGAACUUUCUGUUUGUAUUCACAACUUGGCUAACUGGUUCAUGAGGCCUAGCUUGCAACACACCUUCCUCACCAAGCUUAAUCAUUUCUAGCUUUUGAAUGAAAGUGAGAGACCUGUGACUUAUCCUUUCCCUUGAGCACUUAGAGGCCAUUGUAAGGUUAUCAACUGGCCUCAUUUCAGUGUUUUUGUGUCUCAGAGAAUAAGUGGCCAAGUAGGGAGAGAGAGAUGAGGAAACAGCAGGUCAGUGGAGCAGUCAGAACAAAGACCUUUACCAAUUAAAUUCACCAUCUUACAUGGGCACGAUUCAUGGUGUCCCAACACAAAUAUAAUAGUAACAUCAAAGGCCACUAGUCACUGCAAGUUUGAAAUAUUGCACAAAUUACCAACACGUGACACAGACACAAACUAAGAAAUGCUUUUGGAAAAACGGUGCCAAUUAGACUUCCUUAGUGCAUGGUGGCCACAAACCUUCCACUUGUAGAAAAUGCAGUAUCAGCAAAUAAUACAAAAUGCAAUCAGAUGAAGCAUGCCCAUAGAUACAGUCCUGCAGGACUACAAGCCAAGUCCUGCUGACCACCAGAGUCAGGUCAUCUAGAGGUGCUCGUCUGUGGCACUUGUUAAAAAUCGGGACACCUGAGCAGUGUACAACUUCCUUUCUAGUAGAUACUGGUGACCUGGAGCAAGACAGAGGGUGAACACGAACAUAAGGUCCUCUGGCCCCUGUCCUUAGAGUGCACCUCAUUAGGUCCGUAGAUCUGUGCCAAACCAAAAGCCCUCCCUCCGGCCCCAGCUCCUAGACAAAUGAAUACGCCUCUUUCAUAGAACGACUGGGGGUGUAUUUCAGCCUACUGUCUCUGCAGUGCCCUGGGGGUGGUGGCUAACCAUCAGAGGUAGAAGGUCAAGGAGUGUCCCCUGGUGGCAGCCCAGAAGACCAGGACACCAGACACAGGUACGGUCUCCUCUCUAGGAGCCACUGGUGCUCUGGUGGGUGGUGGAAGGAACAUAAAAUUAGCACCUGCCCUCCAAGGAGGUCUCUGGCCUGUAGAGGUAGGUUUCAUUGGAAGCCUGCCCCUCCAGCCACAGCUAUGAAGAUAAGCUGAAAGGCUUAUUUCUCCGAAAGAUGAUUGCCUGUGUCUCUAACCUCUUCCUGGGCCCUGGGGCGUGGUAGAUGGUCGGGAACUCUUGUCAAUUG